UACGGAGGGGGCAAGCGUUGUUCGGAAUUACUGGGCGUAAAGGGCGCGCAGGCGGCUGCUCAAGUCAGGCGUGAAAGGCCUGGGCUCAACCCGGGAAUUGCGCUUGAGACUGGGCUGGCUUGAGUGCGGGAGAGGAUGGUGGAAUUCCCAGUGUAGAGGUGAAAUUCGUAGAUAUUGGGAAGAACACCGGUGGCGAAGGCGGAUCUCUGGGCCAUUACUGACGCUGAGGAGCGAAAGCGUGGGGAGCAAACAGG
rnacentral:rRNA from 1 species